GAUGAACGCUGGCGGCGUGCCUAAUACAUGCAAGUCGAGCGAACGGACGAGAAGCUUGCUUUUCUGAUGUUAGCGGCGGACGGGUGGGUAACACGUGGAUAACCUACCUAUAAGACUGGGAUAACUUCGGGAAACCGGAGCUAAUACCGGAUAAUAUUUUGAACCGCAUGGUUCAAAAGUGAAAGACGGUCUUGCUGUCACUUAUAGAUGGAUCCGCGCUGCAUUAGCUAGUUGGUAAGGUAACGGCUUACCAAGGCAACGAUGCAUAGCCGACCUGAGAGGGUGAUCGGCCACACUGGAACUGAGACACGGUCCAGACUCCUACGGGAGGCAGCAGUAGGGAAUCUUCCGCAAUGGGCGAAAGCCUGACGGAGCAACGCCGCGUGAGUGAUGAGGGUCUUCGGAUCGUAAAACUCUGUUAUUAGGGAAGAACAUAUGUGUAAGUAACUGUGCACAUCUUGACGGUACCUAAUCAGAAAGCCACGGCUAACUACGUGCCAGCAGCCGCGGUAAUACGUAGGUGGCAAGCGUUAUCCGGAAAUAUUGGGCGUAAAGCGCGCGUAGGCGGUUUUUUAGUCUGAUGUGAAAGCCCACGGCUCAACCGUGGAGGGUCAUUGGAAACUGGAAAACUUGAGUGCAGAAGAGGAAAGUGGAAUUCCAUGUGUAGCGGUGAAAUGCGCAGAGAUAUGGAGGAACACCAGUGGCGAAGGCGACUUUCUGGUCUGUAACUGACGCUGAUGUGCGAAAGCGUGGGGAUCAAACAGGAUUAGAUACCCUGGUAGUCCACGCCGUAAACGAUGAGUGCUAAGUGUUAGGGGGUUUCCGCCCCUUAGUGCUGCAGCUAACGCAUUAAGCACUCCGCCUGGGGAGUACGACCGCAAGGUUGAAACUCAAAGGAAUUGACGGGGACCCGCACAAGCGGUGGAGCAUGUGGUUUAAUUCGAAGCAACGCGAAGAACCUUACCAAAUCUUGACAUCCUUUGACAACUCUAGAGAUAGAGCCUUCCCCUUCGGGGGACAAAGUGACAGGUGGUGCAUGGUUGUCGUCAGCUCGUGUCGUGAGAUGUUGGGUUAAGUCCCGCAACGAGCGCAACCCUUAAGCUUAGUUGCCAUCAUUAAGUUGGGCACUCUAAGUUGACUGCCGGUGACAAACCGGAGGAAGGUGGGGAUGACGUCAAAUCAUCAUGCCCCUUAUGAUUUGGGCUACACACGUGCUACAAUGGACAAUACAAAGGGCAGCGAAACCGCGAGGUCAAGCAAAUCCCAUAAAGUUGUUCUCAGUUCGGAUUGUAGUCUGCAACUCGACUACAUGAAGCUGGAAUCGCUAGUAAUCGUAGAUCAGCAUGCUACGGUGAAUACGUUCCCGGGUCU
rnacentral:rRNA from 1 species